rnacentral:rRNA from 1 species
UGGGGAAUUUUGGACAAUGGGCGCAAGCCUGAUCCAGCAAUGCCGCGUGCAGGAUGAAGGCCUUCGGGUUGUAAACUGCUUUUGUACGGAGCGAAAAGGUCUUCCCUAAUACGGUGGGCUCAUGACGGUACCGUAAGAGUAAGCACCGGCUAACUACGUGCCAGCAGCCGCGGUAAUACGUAGGGUGCGAGCGUUAAUCGGAAUUACUGGGCGUAAAGCGUGCGCAGGCGGUUGUGUAAGACAGAUGUGAAAUCCCCGGGCUCAACCUGGGAACUGCAUUUGUGACUGCACAGCUGGAGUGCGGCAGAGGGAGAUGGAAUUCCGCGUGUAGCAGUGAAAUGCGUAGAUAUGCGGGGGAACACCGAUGGCGAAGGCAAUCCCCUGGGCCUGCACUGACGCUCAUGCACGAAAGCGUGGGGAGCAAACA